CCACAUGCGCCAGCACCCCGCCGAACAGAAAAAAAAGAAGGAAAAAAACCACCCAAGCCCCACGCACCCCAACUCACCCCAACCUCCACACCUUAUCAUCUAUCCUCCCACCCAUCCUGAGGCACUACCCAUCACCUCCACGUUCUUCCUCACCGACAGCCCCCUCACCCCGCCUCCUCCCACCCUACAACCGCUGUCGACCUGACCUGUGUCGUACCUUCCUUCUCCCCCGCCUUCCUCCUCCCCUGCCUUCCAGCUCCACCGCCUUCCCACCGGAUCAAGGGUGCACCAGCGGGAGCUCUACUGUCACCCACAUCCCCAUGGCGCCUCUCCCCGACCCUCCGCACCAACUCCACCCCUCUCCGCUCAGGGCAGCUCUCCCCGCAGGGGGUGGGGGCUUCAUCUUCCUACCAAACCUCCCCCAGGUGCUCGGAGGGAUCCGGUUGUGUGCCAUCCACCUCUGCAUCACACUGCGCCACGCUACCUAGCCUCAGCCGCGACAUUCGGCGGCGAAGACCCAAUCAAUGGUGGUGUGAGGCGGAUUUUGACUAGGCGACGGUUGUCCAUGCUCCUACCCUCGGUGUCGGCUGCAUCCAUCCACCCCCCAUGUUGGAUCGAAGCAUCCCUCCCUGCAAGCCAUAGCCCCGAUGGUCGGCGAACAGAUCAAGCAACCCCACGACGGCAUCGACCCAGAUCAAGCCACCGCGCGACCGCUAACGUCCAGAUCGAGCGAGGGGUCAGCAAUAACUACUCCCCCACGAGCGCCCUCGAUGGAUCUGCGCAUUGGCUCAAGCUCCUAGGUUGUGUGGGUCGGUCAACGGCGGCGGAGUGGAGUCCAUGAGCUUCAGAUCAUUGUUGACGACCUUUCCACCACGAGAUACUCUCUACUCCAUCAUGGACUGCACUAGGGUCUUGGCACCCACUAAAGGAUGCGGUGCAGCAAAGGUUUUUGGGUGCUCAUGCAGUUCGGCUCGGCAACGUGUCACUAUGCAGCUCCAACGGUUUACCUUGUGGGUGUGAGCAGUCCAAAGUUGGUCAUCUCCGGUGUCGUGAUUUGGUCGCUGUCGACCGUCCUACCAUUGGAAGUGCAUUCCAGUAUAAUGUACGUUAUUUUGUGGUUUUCUUUAAUGUUUGAUACUCGAGAGGGUGCUUCAAAGCAUGCAGUAGAUCAUUGUGUUUGUUUUGUUUACAAAAAAUCAGAGCUUUCAUUUAUUUGUUGAACAUGAAACAAUAGAUUUAUGUGCAUUCUUGUUUCUA